rnacentral:rRNA from 1 species
CUGGACUUGGUAUCAGGGGAAUAGCCUUCCCAAAGGAAGAUUAAUACCGCAUAACAUUACAUUUUCGCAUGAAGAAGUAAUUAAAGGAGCAAUCCGCUACAAGAUGGGCCCGCGGCGCAUUAGCUAGUUGGUGAGGUAACGGCUCACCAAGGCGACGAUGCGUAGCCGACCUGAGAGGGUGAUCGGCCACAUUGGGACUGAGACACGGCCCAGACUCCUACGGGAGGCAGCAGUGGGGAAUAUUGCACAAUGGGGGAAACCCUGAUGCAGCAACGCCGCGUGAGUGAUGAAGGUUUUCGGAUCGUAAAGCUCUGUCUUCAGGGGACGAUAAUGACGGUACCUGAGGAGGAAGCCACGGCUAACUACGUGCCAGCAGCCGCGGUAAUACGUAGGUGGCGAGCGUUGUCCGGAUUUACUGGGGCGUAAAAGGGAGCGUAGGCGGAUUUUUAAGUGAAAUGUGAAAUACCCGGGCUCAACUUGGGG